rnacentral:rRNA from 1 species
GGGUACUGAUUUGCUUAUUGCACCACAUGUGUUUUUCUUUGAAACAAACUUGCUUUGGCGGUGGGCCCAGCCUGCCGCCAGAGGUCUAAACUUACAACCAAUUUUUUAUCAACUUGUCACACCAGAUUAUUACUUAAUAGUCAAAACUUUCAACAACGGAUCUCUUGGUUCUCGCAUCGAUGAAGAACGCAGCGAAAUGCGAUACGUAAUAUGAAUUGCAGAUAUUCGUGAAUCAUCGAAUCUUUGAACGCACAUUGCGCCCUCUGGUAUUCCGGAGGGCAUGCCUGUUUGAGCGUCGUUUCUCCCUCAAACCGCUGGGUUUGGUGUUGAGCAAUACGACUUGGGUUUGCUUGAAAGACGGUAGUGGUAAGGCGGGAUCGCUUUGACAAUGGCUUAGGUCUAACCAAAAACAUUGCUUGCGGCGGUAACGUCCACCACGUAUAUCUUCAAACUUUGACCUCAAAUCAGGUAGGACUACCCGCUGAACUUAAGCAUAUCAAUAAGCGGAGGAA